UACGUAGGGGCUAGCGUUGUCCGGAUUUAUUGGGCGUAAAGAGCGUGUAGGCGGCCAGAUAGGUCUGCUGUGAAAACUCGAGGCUCAACCUCGAGCUGUCGGCGGAAACCAUCCGGCUAGAGUCCGGAAGAGGAGAGUGGAAUUCCCGGUGUAGCGGUGGAAUGCGCAGAUAUCAGGAGGAACACCGAUAGCGAAGGCAGCUCGCUGGGACGGUACUGACGCUGAGGCGCGAAAGCGUGGGGAGCGAACAGGAUAGAA
rnacentral:rRNA from 1 species